rnacentral:rRNA from 1 species
UACGUAGGGAGCAAGCGUUGUCCGGAAUCAUUGGGCGUGAAGCGCGCGUAGGUGGCCUCAUAAGUCCGCUGUGAAAGUCAAAGGCUCAACCUUUGAAAGCCGGUGGAUACUGUGAGGCUAGAGUACGGAAGAGGCGAGUGGAAUUCCUGGUGUAGCGGUGGAAUGCGCAGAUAUCAGGGGGAACACCAAUAGCGAAGGCAGCUCGCUGGGACGUUACUGACACUGAGGCGCGAAAGCGUGGGGAGCGAACAGG